GUGGGGAAUAUUGGACAAUGGGCGAAAGCCUGAUCCAGCCAUGCCGCGUGUGUGAAGAAGGUCUUCGGAUUGUAAAGCACUUUAAGUUGGGAGGAAGGGCAGUAAGUUAAUACCUUGCUGUUUUGACGUUACCAACAGAAUAAGCACCGGCUAACUUCGUGCCAGCAGCCGCGGUAAUACGAAGGGUGCAAGCGUUAAUCGGAAUUACUGGGCGUAAAGCGCGCGUAGGUGGUUCAGCAAGUUGGAGGUGAAAUCCCCGGGCGCAGCCUGGGAACUGCGUCCAAAACUGCAUGACUAGAGUACGGUAGAGGGUAGUGCAAUUUCCUGUGUAGCGGUGAAAUGCGUAGAUAUAGGAAGGAACACCAGUGGCGAAGGCGACUACCUGGACUGAUACUGACACUGAGGUGCGAAAGCGUGGGAAGCAAACAGGAUUAGAAACCCGAGUAGUCC
rnacentral:rRNA from 1 species